rnacentral:rRNA from 1 species
CUGCUAGCCGCCGCGGUAAUACGGAGGAUGCAAGCGUUAUCCGGAAUGAUUGGGCGUAAAGCGUCCGCAGGUGGCUAUGUAAAUCUGCUGUUAAAGAGCAAGGCUCAACCUUGUAAAGGCAGUGGAAACUACAUGGCUAGAGUGCGUUCGGGGCAGAGGGAAUUCCUGGUGUAGCGGUGAAAUGCGUAGAGAUCAGGAAGAACACCGGUGGCGAAGGCGCUCUGCUAGGCCGCAACUGACACUGAGGGACGAAAGCUAGGGGAGCGAAUGGGAUUAGAUACCCGCGUAGUCC